GUUGGGUAGGGGAGCGUUCUGUAAGCCUGUGAAGGUGGCCUGUGAGGGUUGCUGGAGGUAUCAGAAGUGCGAAUGCUGACAUAAGUAACGAUAAAGCGGGUGAAAAGCCCGCUCGCCGGAAGACCAAGGGUUCCUGUCCAACGUUAAUCGGGGCAGGGUGAGUCGACCCCUAAGGCGAGGCCGAAAGGCGUAGUCGAUGGGAAACGGGUUAAUAUUCCCGUACUUGGUGUUACUGCGAAGGGGGGACGGAGAAGGCUAUGUUGGCCGGGCGACGGUUGUCCCGGUUUAAGCGUGUAGGUGUGUGUUCCAGGUAAAUCCGGUUCACUUUAACACUGAGGCGUGACGACGAGGCACUACGGUGCUGAAGCAACAAAUGCCCUGCUUCCAGGAAAAGCCUCUAAGCAUCAGGUAACAUCAAAUCGUACCCCAAACCGACACAGGUGGUCAGGUAGAGAAUACCAAGGCGCUUGAGAGAACUCGGGUGAAGGAACUAGGCAAAAUGGUGCCGUAACUUCGGGAGAAGGCACGCUGACACGUAGGUGAAGUGAUUUACUCACGGAGCUGAAGUCAGUCGAAGAUACCAGCUGGCUGCAACUGUUUAUUAAAAACACAGCACUGUGCAAACACGAAAGUGGACGUAUACGGUGUGACGCCUGCCCGGUGCCGGAAGGUUAAUUGAUGGGGUCAGCGCAAGCGAAGCUCCUGAUCGAAGCCCCGGUAAACGGCGGCCGUAACUAUAACGGUCCUAAGGUAGCGAAAUUCCUUGUCGGGUAAGUUCCGACCUGCACGAAUGGCGUAAUGAUGGCCAGGCUGUCUCCACCCGAGACUCAGUGAAAUUGAACUCGCUGUGAAGAUGCAGUGUACCCGCGGCAAGACGGAAAGACCCCGUGAACCUUUACUAUAGCUUGACACUGAACAUUGAGCCUUGAUGUGUAGGAUAGGUGGGAGGCUUUGAAGUGUGGACGCCAGUCUGCAUGGAGCCGACCUUGAAAUACCACCCUUUAAUGUUUGAUGUUCUAACGUGGACCCGUAAUCCGGGUUGCGGACAGUGUCUGGUGGGUAGUUUGACUGGGGCGGUCUCCUCCUAAAGAGUAACGGAGGAGCACGAAGGUUGGCUAAUCCUGGUCGGACAUCAGGAGGUUAGUGCAAUGGCAUAAGCCAGCUUGACUGCGAGCGUGACGGCGCGAGCAGGUGCGAAAGCAGGUCAUAGUGAUCCGGUGGUUCUGAAUGGAAGGGCCAUCGCUCAACGGAUAAAAGGUACUCCGGGGAUAACAGGCUGAUACCGCCCAAGAGUUCAUAUCGACGGCGGUGUUUGGCACCUCGAUGUCGGCUCAUCACAUCCUGGGGCUGAAGUAGGUCCCAAGGGUAUGGCUGUUCGCCAUUUAAAGUGGUACGCGAGCUGGGUUUAGAACGUCGUGAGACAGUUCGGUCCCUAUCUGCCGUGGGCGCUGGAGAACUGAGGGGGGCUGCUCCUAGUACGAGAGGACCGGAGUGGACGCAUCACUGGUGUUCGGGUUGUCAUGCCAAUGGCACUGCCCGGUAGCUAAAUGCGGAAGAGAUAAGUGCUGAAAGCAUCUAAGCACGAAACUUGCCCCGAGAUGAGUUCUCCCUGAGACUUUAAGUCUCCUGAAGGAACGUUGAAGACGACGACGUUGAUAGGCCGGGUGUGUAAGCGCAGCGAUGCGUUGAGCUAACCGGUACUAAUGAACCGUGAGGCUUAACCUUACAACGCCGAAG
rnacentral:rRNA from 1 species